UCUUUCUUAGGUUAAAUUAAACUAUCGAUUUGUGGGGUCGAUUAUCUGCUUUAUUGUGGAGAGGGAA
rnacentral:tRNA from 1 species